UACGUAGGGGGCAAGCGUUGUCCGGAAUCAUUGGGCGUAAAGCGCGCGUAGGCGGCCCGGUAAGUCCGUUGUGAAAGUCAAAGGCUCAACCUUUGAACGCCGAUGGAUACUGCCGGGCUAGAGUCCGGAAGAGGCGAGUGGAAUUCCUGGUGUAGCGGUGGAAUGCGCAGAUAUCAGGAGGAACACCAAUAGCGAAGGCAGCUCGCUGGGACGGUACUGACGCUGAGGCGCGAAAGCGUGGGGAGCGAUCCGG
rnacentral:rRNA from 1 species